GACGAACGCUGGCGGCGUGCCUAAUACAUGCAAGUUGAGCGCUGAAGGUUGGUACUUGUACCAACUGGAUGAGCAGCGAACGGGUGAGUAACGCGUGGGGAAUCUGCCUUUGAGCGGGGGACAACAUUUGGAAACGAAUGCUAAUACCGCAUAAAAACUUUAAACACAAGUUUUAAGUUUGAAAGAUGCAAUUGCAUCACUCAAAGAUGAUCCCGCGUUGUAUUAGCUAGUUGGUGAGGUAAAGGCCCACCAAGGCGAUGAUACAUAGCCGACCUGAGAGGGUGGUCGGCCACAUUGGGACUUGGACACGGCCCAAACUCCUUCGGGGGGCAGCAGUAGGGGAUCUUCGGCAAUGGACGAAAGUCUGACCGAGCAACGCCGCGUGAGUGAAGAAGGUUUUCGGAUCGUAAAACUCUGUUGGUAGAGAAGAACGUUGGUGAGAGUGGAAAGCUCAUCAAGUGACGGUAACUACCCAGAAAGGGACGGCUAACUACGUG
rnacentral:rRNA from 1 species